rnacentral:rRNA from 1 species
ACGGUNGCACAGAGAGCUUGCUCUCGGGUGACGAGUGGCGGACGGGUGAGUAAUGUCUGGGAAACUGCCUGAUGGAGGGGGAUAACUACUGGAAACGGUAGCUAAUACCGCAUAACGUCGCAAGACCAAAGAGGGGGACCUUCGGGCCUCUUGCCAUCAGAUGUGCCCAGAUGGGAUUAGCUAGUAGGUGGGGUAACGGCUCACCUAGGCGACGAUCCCUAGCUGGUCUGAGAGGAUGACCAGCCACACUGGAACUGAGACACGGUCCAGACUCCUACGGGAGGCAGCAGUGGGGAAUAUUGCACAAUGGGCGCAAGCCUGAUGCAGCCAUGCCGCGUGUAUGAAGAAGGCCUUCGGGUUGUAAAGUACUUUCAGCGGGGAGGAAGGUGUUGUGGUUAAUAACCGCAGCAAUUGACGUUACCCGCAGAAGAAGCACCGGCUAACUCCGUGCCAGCAGCCGCGGUAAUACGGAGGGUGCAAGCGUUAAUCGGAAUUACUGGGCGUAAAGCGCACGCAGGCGGUCUGUCAAGUCGGAUGUGAAAUCCCCGGGCUCAACCUGGGAACUGCAUUCGAAACUGGCAGGCUAGAGUCUUGUANAGGGGGUAGANUUCCAGGUGUAGCGGUGAAUGCGUAANAUCUGGAGAAAUACGGUGGCGAAGCGNCCCCUGGACAAGACUGACCCUCAGGUNCAAAGCGUGGGAGCAACAGAUAAUACCUGUNUCNCGCGUAACAUGCACUGAGUGGCCUGAGCGGCUCGACUACCNUAUCACGCUGGAUCGCCAGUANCCAUAUNCGGCCCCACGUGACUGGUUAUNUCACCAACUCUNUGNCAAANUCAAUGUGNCUGACUANGNUNGUCCCNGUNAUUGUANCANNNCUCUUCGCCGAANNCGAUGAGGNCANUCUAGCNAGNAAACNNCAGNCUNNCNAUUAANANNUCCNGANNGCUUGA